rnacentral:rRNA from 1 species
CCUACGGGUGGCAGCAGUCGAGAAUCAUUCACAAUGGGGGAAACCCUGAUGGUGCGACGCCGCGUGGGGGAAUGAAGGUCUUCGGAUUGUAAACCCCUGUCAUGUGGGAGCAAAUUAAAAAGAUAGUACCACAAGAGGAAGAGACGGCUAACUCUGUGCCAGCAGCCGCGGUAAUACAGAGGUCUCAAGCGUUGUUCGGAAUCACUGGGCGUAAAGCGUGCGUAGGCUGUUUCGUAAGUCGUGUGUGAAAGGCGCGGGCUCAACCCGCGGACGGCACCUGAUACUGCGAGACUAGAGUAAGGGAGGGGGAACCGGAAUUCUCGGUGUAGCAGUGAAAUGCGUAGAUAUCGAGAGGAACACUCGUGGCGAAGGCGAGUUCCUGGACAUUAACUGACGCUGAGGCACGAAGGCCAGGGGAGCGAAAGGGAUUAGAUACCCGUGUAGUC